CCUACGGGUGGCAGCAGUGGGGAAUAUUGGACAAUGGGCGAAAGCCUGAUCCAGCCAUGCCGCGUGUGUGAAGAAGGCCUUCGGGUUGUAAAGCACUUUCAGUGGGGAAGAAAGCCUUGGGGCUAAUACCCUCGAGGAAGGACAUCACCCACAGAAGAAGCACCGGCUAACUCCGUGUCAGCAGCCGCGGUAAUACGGAGGGUGCGAGCGUUAAUCGGAAUUACUGGGCGUAAAGCGCGCGUAGGCGGUCUGAUAAGCCGGUUGUGAAAGCCCCGGGCUCAACCUGGGAACGGCAUCCGGAACUGUCAGGCUAGAGUGCAGGAGAGGAAGGUAGAAUUCCCGGUGUAGCGGUGAAAUGCGUAGAGAUCGGGAGGAAUACCAGUGGCGAAGGCGGCCUUCUGGACUGACACUGACGCUGAGGUGCGAAAGCGUGGGUAGCAAACAGGAUUAGAUACCCUGGUAGUC
rnacentral:rRNA from 1 species